ACGAACGCUGGCGGCGUGCUUAACCCCUGCAAGUCGAACGGAAAGGCCCUGCUUUUGUGGGGUGCUCGGGUGGCGAACGGGUGAGUAACACGUGAGUAACCUGCCCUUGACUUUGGGAUAACUUCAGGAAACUGGGGCUAAUACCGGAUAGGAGCUCCUGCUGCCUGGUGGGGGUUGGAAAGUUUCGGCGGUUGGGGAUGGACUCGCGGCUUAUCAGCUUGUUGGUGGGGUAGUGGCUUACCAAGGCUUUGACGGGUAGCCGGCCUGAGAGGGUGACCGGCCACAUUGGGACUGAGAUACGGCCCAGACUCCUACGGGAGGCAGCAGUGGGGAAUAUUGCACAAUGGGCGGAAGCCUGAUGCAGCAACGCCGCGUGCGGGAUGACGGCCUUCGGGUUGUAAACCGCUUUCGCCUGUGACGAAGCGUGAGUGACGGUAAUGGGUAAAGAAGCACCGGCUAACUACGUG
rnacentral:rRNA from 1 species